GAUGAACGCUGGCGGCGUGCCUAAUACAUGCAAGUCGAGCGAACGGACGAGAAGCUUGCUUCUCUGAUGUUAGCGGCGGACGGGUGAGUAACACGUGGAUAACCUACAUAUAAGACUGGGAUAACUUCGGGAAACCGGAGCUAAUACCGGAUAAUAUUUUGAACCGCAUGGUUCAAAAGUGAAAGAAGGUCUUGCUGUCACUUAUAGAUGGAUCCGCGCUGCAUUAGCUAGUUGGUAAGGUAACGGCUUACCAAGGCAACGAUGCAUAGCCGACCUGAGAGGAUGAUCGGCCACACUGGAACGGAGACACGGUCCAGACUCCUACGGGAGGCAGCAGUAGGGAAUCUUCCGCAAUGGGCGAAAGCCUGACAGAGCAACGCCGCGUGAGUGAUGAAGGUCUUCGGAUCGUAAAACUCUGUUAUUAGGGAAGAACAUAUGUGUAAGUAACUGUGCACAUCUUGACGGUACCUAAUCAGAAAGCCACGGCUAGCUACGUG
rnacentral:rRNA from 1 species